AUGUGGUUGAGGAUAUUUUUUCUUUAUCAUUAUGUUAAAACUUGUUUUUUCGUUAAUUAAUAAUGCGUGAAUUAAUUCAGCAACAUGCUUCAUCAAAGUCAUGGUUUAAAACCCGCUUAGUAUUGUACUUGAGACAGAGGCAAAUUUUGAGCUUGAAAAAUUAUUGAUAUGAUUCAUACUCGUAGGGAAGCAAAAAAAUAGGCCAAGGCGGAUGAGUUAAUACGCUGCUAUUAUGGAGAUCACGGCAGAAACGAGAGCAUGUGCUGGCGACAAGCUGUUUAUCAUUUUUUAAAGCCGAUUGGUCUAGUACACCCUGUUCAUUAUCACACCCGGGUCAGUAACACCAUCCGCCCUGUCCUUAGUUGCAUUAUUAAGCACUUAUUUAAUCAAUAAUAAUUAAAAUUAAAAUACAAAAAGAAUAUUUUUCGCCUGCCACUCAAAAGACGCGUGAUUUAGUAGCUGUGCCCGCGACUUCGUCCGCGUGGAAUAGUUAUUUUGGACAUCAUUGAAGCCCUUAGGGAUGAAUAAUUUACUCCGUUUUUUUUUCACAUUUUCCAUUAUUUCUUCGCUCCUAAAAGUAACAGCGUGAUGUUAUAUAGCCUAAAGCCUUCCUCGAUAAAUGGUCUAUUUAACACAAAAAGAAUUUUUCAAUUCGAACCAGUAGUUCCUGAGAUAUUGUAUUGUUAAAAGAUUUACGCGUUGGGUAAUAAGUAAGUAGGUUUCAAAGUAUGUAUAAAUUAUAAGUAUUUAAAUAUAUUUACGCCUACAACAUUAAGCAACAAAUGAAAUAAAUUCUGUUUGUUCUCCUUUUUUUAUUUCAAAUAACGUGCUAAUGAUUUUGUUUAUUAAGUUUCUUUUUAUAUAACCUGUCGUAAUGACAAAAUAUAUGAAAAUUGAAAGCUGUGCAUAUCUGUUAAAGAUAUUUCUAAACAUUAAAUCUUCAUGAGAUAAGUCCGCCAUUGCAAGAGAUUUGUUUCUUUACUUGUACUUACUAUUUUCUUGUUACUGUGUAAAUUUCUUUGCAAUAAAGAUAUUACGUCAAUAAAAAAAGGAAAAUUGAAAAGAUGGCAUGUUAUAUAACAACGAAACAACAAUACCACUAGUAUUUGGUAUAAUAAGCAAUUUUAAUUUAAUCUGCAUGAAAUACAAACUGUAAAGGAUUUACAGAAUUUCGUAGGUGAGCGAAAUCUACUAAAGUACGCAAAGAGCCUGUAGAGGCAUCUUUAUCGUGGAUUAGUGGUAAGCAUGACAAUAAAAUUCAAAUGUUUCCUGUUGCCAAACAAAAAUUGAUAAAUAAUCAUUAUGAAAUUCAUCAAUGAAGAACCAUGUUGCCUUUGGGUAAGAUAAGAUAAUGAAUUAAGUAGCUGUUGUCGAGGAACUGUGCAUCUUUUGCCAAGCGUGGCGCCCGCGUUGACAGGAUUUUAUUCAAUAAGUCCACAGAGCAAAGAACUACUAGCUACCACCGUCCGUGUCCAGGUACCCAUCAGGAGUGGUCCCAGAAGGUCGCGGCAGGCAGAAGGUCAAUGCAGCACAGGCUGGGAACAAAACUAUGUGUUAAUAAAAGGCCGCCUGCGACUCAGCCCGCGUUGAAUCAAUUCAGCGGGUAUUUCGGGAUAAUAAGUAGCCUAUAUGUUAUUCUGGGUCUGGUCUGGGUAAAAUUUACUGCUGGCGAAAAUGUAUUAGAUUUUGAUCCAGCACAUAGUUUAUAUUCUAUUCUAAGUUUAAUUAAUAUUGUGAAGUUGACGUUGUUGAAGAAAAUGCUGCAGUGCAGUUUGUAACCGCUUCUUCUGCACUGACGCCUUGGAAGCGGCAGUAAACUUAGUUUUUAAGUAAUUUAUUUGACGUCAACCAAUGUUGUUAAACCAUACGUUUUGACAAUUAUUAAGCGAUAUAUAGUAUCCUAUAUAUAUAGUAGAAUAGUAAUUAAUAAAAAUUUUGAAUUUGAAUUUUGAGUUGCGUAUCUUGUAAUAUGACGUUAUUUUUUUUUUAAGAAUAAUAAAAGCAGUAUAAGCCAUAGAAUCUCUAUGUACACACACAUCAGAGUAACAGUCAAACUAAAACUUUUUUUUUUAAUAAUAAAUGCAUUAGGCUCCAUGGAAUUUCUAUGGUAGGCAUUGUAACAGUUUAAUCCCACUAAUAUUAUAAAUGCGAAAGUUUGUGAAUAUGUCAGGAUAAGUAUGGAUGUUUGUUACUCUUUCACGCAAAAAUUACUGAACCGAUUAUGAGGAAUUUGGUAUGUAGGCAGCUGCAGACCCACAAUAACUUAUAGGCUACUUUUUAUGCCGGAGUUCCCGCGGGAUUAACAGGGUUUCCAUGCGGACGAAGUCGCGGGCGGCCUCUAGUGAUUCAAUGAAUUUAUUCGUAAAACACCAUAACAAAAAAAAAACAAAAAAGAAUAUGUACAAAAAUAGACAUGAAAUAUGGUGGUGCUCCCAAAAGGGUACCCCCUCAGCAUAAUGCUGGCUGUAAACAAUAUGCUUCACAGCCAACGCUGAUCUUCCGUGGGUGGAACAGUUGAACUGCGCUGAAAUAUCCUGCUUUGCCAAAAAAACACAUUUAAAUUUUAUAACCAAGAUACAAGAAGCGUAAAUAACCACGUUGCGAUACGACACAUAUCAAUGUAAUAAAAUACAGAUUUCUUUUUAUAAUGCAUUGUAAUAUAAACUUAUUUAAAUUAGAAUUAAACGUGAAAGAUAACUGAAAACAAUAUGAUAUCGCCCGGCGGGGUAUCUGUUGGGAAACCCUAAAGUUAUUAUGAUUGACAAGUUGGUUAUUUGAAUUAGAUAUAAAUAUCAGGUUACUACAAUCUAUUUCAAUAGUGAGCAUCAGUUUUGCGUCUAGGUUGAAGAGCGUCCGUGGUCGAAUCGGUAAGGUGCCCGGUUAAAAUACGUGAUGCGCAUAAAGGCACAGGUUCAAAUCCCACCUCGGUCAGAAACUAAUGACUAUUUUCGAAGUUAUGUACGAUCGCGUUCAUAUCUGCAGUCAUAGUUUUAAAAUUCUUACGGGUUAAAAUAGCGUGCACUGUGGUUCCACUAGAUACACACACACAUGCAUAUUUAAAAAGAAUAAAUAUUCCUUCAAAUGAAUACGGUCUUUAAUACCAAUGAUUACUAAGUAAAACAGUUUAUUAUUCUAUGACAUAUAACAUAACAAAACAGAAAGAGACGGUUAUCAACGAUGUCCGAACUGGGCCCGAUAAUUGUCGAUCGAGAUAUCGUCGUCUCUCAUUAUUUGCAUAAGAUUUGCCUAUAGAGGGAAGCCUGCGACUGCCAGACUUAUGUCAUUUCAAUAAAGUUGAAAGUUUGUCUGCACACGACCCUAACAUAGGUAGUGGUUCCUUAGAAAGUUAUUGGGUAGCAAUUUUAUUACUUCGUUUGUGCAAGUGAGAUCUAAGAUAUACUAGAUAAUCUCGCUUGCUCACACUCGCUUGUUCUAGUUACUAGCGGAUUCCGAAGUUAUUCAAGGAAUUUCUGUCUAUUAAAAAAAAUAUAUAUUGUUACUGACAAUUUUUAAUGUUUCAAGGUGCCAUUUGAACUAAGUAACUGACUGACUAACUAACUGACUGAUAUCUAAGAAUUACGAUACCCGUGUCUUCAAACACGGAAAUCAGUAAGAAAUAUUAAACAAGAGGGAGCAAAAUAAAACACUCAAUAAUUAAAAUUAGUAAAUUUUAUUGAAACAGUUUACCUAUAGUUUUGUUUACAUAUUGAUGAUUAUAUAAAGGUAUACAUACAGCAUAUUACACUAAUUUACCUAUCUCCUGUUAUUAAGGUUACAGCUUAAUUAUUCGUUUUCAUAAAGAAAAGAUAUUGAAGCUGUCCUUAAAAUACUAUCUAAGUAGUAGUUUUAAUAUAAACUGGCAGAACCUUUCACGCACUAUAUGGACUCGAUACACAGGGUAGUUUUCUUGCACAAAUGAUAUUGCAUAUCAUCAAUCGGAUAAAUACACCGCACAGUUGGUAACAUGGUUUCUUGCAGCACUUGCACAUAAUGAGCAGCUGUAGCGCAUCCUGCUAUCUACACCUGUUCCCCAGGUCCAGCAGCACUCAUCCAGCCCCACAUAUUUACAGAUAUGCGUCCAGACUCCAUAUUUGGCACAAUAUUUUUUUCUUCAUACCGAGUUGCAUUUCUUCGCCAUAAAUGAAGCCUACCGUGUUGCGAUGACGUAAACGAACUUUUUGUCCGUAAAUAUCGCCGUGUUCCAGUCAAAAUCCAAAUACUGCCGAGCAAAUUCUAAAUGUUUUUGCUUAUUUAUUUCGGAUAAAUACGGCUUUCUUGCUGGCUGUCUGUGGAAUAGUCCCUCACGGUGCAAACUCGACGAACAGUAACCACUGAUGUGUCGAACUGUUCCGCAAAUGUUCUGGUCGGUAUGAAGCCAUUAUUUUCGUACUGUUCCACCAUGGAUCUUCGCUGUGUGGCGUGUCGCUGUGUUGAUUAGCGGACGACGGUCGCUGAGCGGUCGACUUUUUACACUACCCUCUUCUUGAUGGCGCGUUACCCAACGCUUAACCGCUUGUUGUUUAUUGUGUUAUUUGUGUGAAUGUGUGAGUGACAGCGGUGACUGCAAGCUAUAAAGUUUUGCGAACUAUGACUGCAAUUAUGAACGCGACCGUACAUUAGAUUAAAUACUAACCGAUGCUUUUACGGUGGGCGAAAACAUCGUGAGGAAACCUACACAUUCAAGCAACUGGAUGUGGUAACCAUGAUCUAUCUAUCCAAUUCGGGUUAAGGUUUACCUGCAAAAGGUAGCGGAGGUCAGAUGGGGGGGAGUAUCUUCGUGUAAAAACCUGACUCUGGGUGAGUCAGGUUUUUACCCAGUUUUUAUCCAGGAUCUAUGGUCAAAGACUUACCCCGGGUUCUUCUCCAAAGUGAUGAGGAUGCAACCGUCCAAAAAGUUAGGCGUCUACAUAGAUUCUGGUUGAGCAGGAAAACUUUACUUAAUAAAUAAAUAAGAUUUUCAUGACUUUUCCAGGGACAAUGCAUACAUUUACUUAUAAAAACGCGUGAGUUUUAUAAGUAAAUGUUAGGUAGGCGAAGACAAUAUCAACAAUAUAAUUACGUAAAAUUAUUUGUAUAUUAUUCUAAUUACAUUAUAAAAACGGAGAAAAUUGUUAUUUUUCCGUAGACAUAAUUUUUAUUGCAAACCGUUUGUUGUGGCAUGCUACAGAUUCUCUACGUUGCCGGCAGAAGACCAGUGUUGGGAAACGAACUUUAUAAUCACUCUAUAAUAUUCCGAACAAAAGCAUUACUUACAAUAUAAUCUAGGGAAUCACGGCGGACGACCCUUAACAAUAAAAUAAAAAAGUGUGCCACAUUAGUAAUUCUAUGGAAUUAAAUGACCUUUCUGGGCAACGGAUUUAGUAGAAUUUUUAAACUAUUUAAAUUAGAAAAUGCGUGGCAUUUUUUGCAUUUAUAUUGACUUAGUAUAUUGCCCUGACAAUUUUAUAGUGAUGCAAGAGUUAUCAGUUUCGUUGAACAAAACGUGACAUGACCACGUGUUGAUAGCACUUACCUCUAAUUUUUUACACUUUGUAAAUAAGUUAAAGCAAUUAAUCUUUGUAAUAAAAGUAAUAAAUAACAAUUCUGGCUGUAAGUGAGAAUUAAAAACGUUACAGAAUAAAUAAUUCAUAGAUAGAAACAUACUUGUUUAUAGAUAAAUAACUAAUAUGUACCUAAUAUAGUAAUCUAAAGUAAUAUUAUUUAUAAUUAUCUGUGUAAUAAAUAAAUAAACAUAGCAUUAAAUUCCAAAAUACCGUUUUACUAACUGAUUAAGUACGUAUAACUUCUAAUUUAUUUUAUUUUAGACAAAUUAUGUACCUUAUGGAAAAAAAACCCACUUAUAAGCCGCGAGUAUUCAUUUUUAAAAUAAUUUAUCAGUUUACAUGUAUAUCUUAGCUGCUGAACGUGAUAAAGCCAUGCACACAUUAUAUGCAGCUGACGACGGGAGAGAGAGCACACAUUAUGAUAGAAUAAUCACUAUUUAUUGCGAUCAAAAUAUUGAUACAAUGACGCAUUGGGUUCUACAUAAUAAUAUAAAUAUUUGCAAGUGUUGUUUUGAUCGUUUGUAAGAGGUUAUCGCGCAAUACUGGGAGGUUGAAGACAAAGAUUUUUGACUGGUAUGGUGGAAGGUGAAACAGAGAGAGAGAGUUUUUAGGAUUACAAGUCAGAAAAUAUGAACCUACCAAACAGUAAUACGCUGAAACCAUAGAAGGUUGAUGUGCAGGCCACAGCUAGGAGGUACCCGGCCGCGUUGGCUCCCACCACAGAGCCCAGUCGGCCGAACAUUAGCACUGCACCCACGGCUGUGCCCCUGUUGGCAAAAGAAUUCACGUUAUAAAAUAUUUGAAUUAUUUUGAAAUAAUUUCAAUUCAAUUUCAAAUUGGGAGAUGCGCGGGCGCUCAAGUCAUUAUUCUUUUUUGUUAACAUAUUUUAAAAACAGAGUAAGCUUACUCACUUAGGGAAUCGGAAUAAUAUACAUAUAUUAUGUCAAGUCUUCCCUUACGGGGUAUACAGAGCCAAAAAUAUGGAUACCUAAGUCUCUAAAGGUCAUGCUUAGCCUAAUACUAGAAUUGAGUUUAAGAUAAUGACAGGUCGUAAACAUAAAGCAUUAGAUAACUUUAAGAUAAUAUUAAUUACUAGCUGUGCCCGCGACUUCGUCCGCGUGGAAUAGUUGUUUUGGGCAUCAUUGAAGCCCUCAAGGGUGAAUAAUUUUCCUCGUUUUUUCACAUUUUUCAUUAUUUCUUCGCUCCUAAUAGUUGCAGCGUGAUGUUAUAUAGCCUUCUUCGAUAAAAUACAACACAAAAAUAAUUUUUCAUUUCGAACCAGUAGGUAGUACUGAGAUAAUAAAUAAGCGCGUUCAAACAAACAAACUCUUCAGCUUUAUAACAUUAGUAUAGAUGUAUGAUCUAAUAAUAUGGUAAUUCAUAGUUGGGCACUAACAAAGAGAUUAAGAAGAAAAUCAGGAGAGACACUGCAAGUUUAUAAGUAAUUUUGUGUAACAUAGUUAUUCAUUCAGUGAUAAGAACACUGAAGAUACUAACCUCAAUCUUGUCGGGAACAAAUGUAUCGUGUACGCAGUGAGCGGGCCGAUCCCCAGGGAUGUUAAUUGCAGACCAGACAUCGCCACUCCUGCCACCAUCCUAAACAAAGGCCACGUUUUUUAGAAUAUAAACAGAUAACAACCUUAUUGCUUUACUUUAGUGCCGUGUGGUUCCCGGCACCUAUACAAAAAAAGAAUAGGACCACUCCAUCUCUUUCCCAUGGGUGUCGUAAAAGGCGACUAAGGGAUAGGCUCACAAACUUGGGAUUCUUUUUUAGGCAAUGGGUUGCAACCUGUCACUAUUUGAAUCUCAAUUCUAUCAUUAAGCCAAAUAGUUGAACGUGACCGUUCAGUCUUUUCGGGACUGUUGGCUCUGUCUACCCCGCAAGGGAUAUAAACGUGACCAUAUGUAUGUAUGUAUGAAACACCUUAUUGGAAUAUUGAAGCUGCAAGAGAUAGACUUAAUCGUCAUCGUAUUAAACUCAACAUCAACAACAUAACAUCAUAUAGGCAUGUCUAUAUCCCCCGCGGAGAAGAUAGAAAUGACAGUCUUGAUAAUACUGAAAUAUCACGUUCAGCCGUAUGGCUUCAUGACGGAAUCGAGAUGCAAAUAGUGACAGGUUGCUAGCCCAUCCCCACAAGAAGAAUCCCAAGAAUAUAAAGCCCAUUCGGAAUGGGCUGAAUGAAAGUAAAAGUCAUGUCAUAAAAGGCGACUACGGAAUGGUCUUUUAUGACAUGACUUGUACUUUCACUGGCACAUCCAAUCUAGAUUGGGUUAAGAGACGUCGAACCCGGGAAUAACCCAGGAAGACCAUUUAUACAGGGUGACUUUUAAUUCAACUGCAUAAAUUUAACUGUUAAGUGUACUCAUCUAAAGGAUAUUUGAAAACUUUAAAAGAAAAAUAUCGGUUCAUAUUUCAGAAAGUACGAAAAAAAAUAAAAGAAUCAAAAUCCAUGAUCCUAAAUACGUCAUAUCACCCCGGCCGGCGGAAAAGCGACGCGUAAGAUUCAGAGGUCAACAACACAAUUCAUUCAGCUGAGCGAUCUCGACAACUCUGUACUGUACUUGAUCUUGAUACUAGAAAAAUAAUUUAUUUUUCAGACAUUUAUUUACAUGUUUAGUUUUAAUUUCUCUUUGUAAUAUUGUUCUUUAAUAAAGCGUGUGACGUAGUUUUUGAGGGUUUUUUUAAUGUGAAAAUGAUGACGUUUAAUUUAAAUAAAAAUAGGCUCAAACGGCUCAGAAGCAUGGGUAUAGUCUAUCACCACCACCCUGUAUUGCUCAGGUUGGUUCAUGGUGAGGCAGAUGGCGCCUUCUUGGUCAGAGUCCGUCAUGACCCUAUUGAUGGUGUCCGCUGCGAACAGGAACAAGCCAUUCAACCUGGAAGUUUACAUUGUUUCUUUAAAAAUAAUUAUAAACAUAAAAUAAUGAUAGACAUACCUAACUAAAUAUUUUAGUUGAAAAGAUUAUUGGCAAAAUGAUGACGAUAUAAUCUGAUGUGCACUGGACUCAUUGACGCCAUUUUGAGUGACAGACUCAAAAUGGAAACUAUUCAACCCAUGAAUCCGAGAAUAAUCGUAAGGAAGCGUCAAUAAAAUAUACAAUAUUAUGUAAUGUUCAUUCAUUAAGUACACCUCAUUUGGAAUAGAUGGUUUUGGUACAUUUUUUUAACCCAAAAUAACAGUAAAAUCUCACAUUUCCAAUAGACAAAAGUUUUUUUUUAAAUAGAAAGCCAUAUUAUCAUACUUAUCUAGUCAACGGGAUACGAAACCUUAUUCAUAAAAAUAAACUCAUAGAGCAGUCUUCAGUGAUUUAUUGAGGUUCACAAGUCGGUAAAGGGCAAUAUG